AGAAAAAGAUGGAGACCAAGCCUCAGAAAAGACAAAAACCAGUCCGUGGAAAAGCAAAAGAUAGCGAUGAAUUGGAUGAGAAGGAGUUGGAUAUUAAGCUUGAUAUCACCAAGAAAAGCAGAAAAAUAAAUCGCCCAACAUGCUUCGCAGAUCAA